rnacentral:rRNA from 1 species
UACAGAGGUGCCGAGCGUUAGGCGGAAUCACUGGGCUUAAAGCGUGUGUAGGCGGGUCCGUCAGCGCCCUGUGAAAUCCCACGGCUCAACCGUGGAACUGCUUGGUAUACUGCGGGUCUUGAGCCACCUAGGGGCAAGCGGAACAAGCGGUGGAGCGGUGAAAUGCGUAGAUAUCGCUUGGAACGCCAAUGGUGAAAACAGCUUGCUGGGGGUGUGCUGACGCUGAGACACGAAAGCCAGGGGAGCAAACGGG